UACGUAGGGCGCGAGCGUUGUCCGGAAUUAUUGGGCGUAAAGAGCUCGUAGGCGGCCUGUCGCGUCGGUUGUGAAAGCCCGGGGCUCAACCCCGGGUCUGCAGUCGAUACGGGCAGGCUAGAGUUCGGUAGGGGAGAUCGGAAUUCCUGGUGUAGCGGUGAAAUGCGCAGAUAUCCGGAGGAACACCGGUGGCGAAGGCGGCUUCCUGGACCGACACUGACGCUGAGGCGCGAAAGCUAGGGGAGCAAACGGG
rnacentral:rRNA from 1 species